rnacentral:rRNA from 1 species
CUUACACAUGCAAGUCGAACGGCAGCGCGGGAGCAAUCCUGGCGGCGAGUGGCGAACGGGUGAGUAAUACAUCGGAACGUGCCCAAUCGUGGGGGAUAACGCAGCGAAAGCUGUGCUAAUACCGCAUACGAUCUACGGAUGAAAGCAGGGGAUCGCAAGACCUUGCGCGAAUGGAGCGGCCGAUGGCAGAUUAGGUAGUUGGUGAGGUAAAGGCUCACCAAGCCUUCGAUCUGUAGCUGGUCUGAGAGGACGACCAGCCACACUGGGACUGAGACACGGCCCAGACUCCUACGGGAGGCAGCAGUGGGGAAUUUUGGACAAUGGGCGAAAGCCUGAUCCAGCCAUGCCGCGUGCAGGAUGAAGGCCUUCGGGUUGUAAACUGCUUUUGUACGGAACGAAACGGCCUUUUCUAAUAAAGAGGGCUAAUGACGGUACCGUAAGAAUAAGCACCGGCUAACUACGUGCCAGCAGCCGCGGUAAUACGUAGGGUGCAAGCGUUAAUCGGAAUUACUGGGCGUAAAGCGUGCGCAGGCGGUUAUGUAAGACAGUUGUGAAAUCCCCGGGCUCAACCUGGGAACUGCAUCUGUGACUGCAUAGCUAGAGUACGGUAGAGGGGGAUGGAAUUCCGCGUGUAGCAGUGAAAUGCGUAGAUAUGCGGAGGAACACCGAUGGCGAAGGCAAUCCCCUGGACCUG